rnacentral:rRNA from 1 species
AUUGAACGCUGGCGGCAGGCCUAACACAUGCAAGUCGAGCGGAGCGGCGGACGGGUGAGUAAUGCCUAGGAAUCUGCCUGUUGGUGGGCGACAACGUCCGGGAACGGGCGCUAAUACCGCAUACUAUCAGAUGAGCCUCGGUGGGAUUAGCUAGUUGGUGGGGUAAAGGCCUACCAAGGCGACGAUCCGUAACUGGUCUGAGAGGAUGAUCAGUCACACUGGAACUGAGACACGGUCCAGACUCCUACGGGAGGCAGCAGUGGGGAAUAUUGGACAAUGGGCGAAAGCCUGAUCCAGCAAUGCCGCGUGUGUGAAGAAGGUCUUCGGAUUGUAAAGCACUGUAAGUUGGGAGGCGUUACCAACAGAAUAAGCACCGGCUAACUUCGUGCCAGCAGCCGCGGUAAUAC